UACGUAGGGCGCGAGCGUUGUCCGGAUUUAUUGGGCGUAAAGAGCUCGUAGGUGGUUCGGUAAGUCGGAUGUGAAAUCUCCAGGCUCAACCUGGAGGGGUCAUUCGAUACUGCCGUGACUAGAGUUCGGUAGAGGAGUGUGGAAUUCCUGGUGGAGCGGUGAAAUGCGCAGAGAUCAGGAGGAACACCCGUAGCGAAGGCGGCACUCUGGGCCGAUACUGACACUGAGGAGCGAAAGCGUGGGGAGCGAACAGG
rnacentral:rRNA from 1 species